CUACGGGGCGCUGCAGUGGGGAAUUUUGCGCAAUGGGCGAAAGCCUGACGCAGCAACGCCGCGUGAGCGAUGAAGGUUUUCGGAUCGUAAAGCUCUGUCAGAUGGGAAGAAGAACAUGACGGUACCAUCAGAGGAAGCCCCGGCUAACUCCGUGCCAGCAGCCGCGGUAAUACGGAGGGGGCGAGCGUUGUUCGGAAUUAUUGGGCGUAAAGCGUAUGUAGGUGGUUUGACAAGUCAGACGUGUAAGCCCACGGCUCAACCGUGGAAUUGCGUUUGAAACUAUCUAACUUGAGUGCAGAAGAGGAAAGCGGAAUUGCCAGUGUAGCGGUGAAAUGCGUUGAUAUUGGGAAGAACACCUGUGGCGAAGGCGGCUUUCUGGUCUGCUACUGACACUGAGAUACGAAAGCCAGGGGAGCAAACGGGAUUAGAUACCCGCGUAGUC
rnacentral:rRNA from 1 species